rnacentral:rRNA from 1 species
CUACGGAGGGUGCAAGCGUUAAUCGGAAUUACUGGGCGUAAAGAGUACGUAGGUGGUUUGUUAAGUCAGAUGUGAAAGCCCCGGGCUCAACCUGGGAACUGCAUUUGAAACUGGCAAACUAGAGUAUGGUAGAGGGGGGUAGAAUUUCUAGUGUAGCGGUGAAAUGCGUAGAUAUUAGAAGGAAUACCAGUGGCGAAGGCGGCCCCCUGGACCAAUACUGACACUGAGGUACGAAAGCGUGGGUAGCGAACAGGAUUAGAAACCCUUGUAGUCC